rnacentral:rRNA from 1 species
ACAGGCCCUAAUGGGUUGUUAAACUGCUUUGUACGGGAAAAAACCUCCGGUCGUGAACCGGAGCUGAUGGUACCGUAAGAAUAAGCAUCGGCUAACUCCGUGC